rnacentral:rRNA from 1 species
GAUGAACGCUGGCGGCGUGCCUAAUACAUGCCAGUCGAGCGAACAGAUGAGGAGCUUGCUCCUCUGACGUUAGCGGCGGACGGGUGAGUAACACGUGGAUAACCUACCUAUAAGACUGGGAUAACUUCGGGAAACCGGAGCUAAUACCGGAUAAUAUAUUGAACCGCAUGGUUCAAUAGUGAAAGACGGUUUUGCUGUCACUUAUAGAUGGAUCCGCGCCGCAUUAGCUAGUUGGUAAGGUAACGGCUUACCAAGGCAACGAUGCGUAGCCGACCUGAGAGGGUGAUCGGCCACACUGGGACUGAGACACGGUCCAGACUCCUACGGGAGGCAGCAGUAGGGAAUCUUCCGCAAUGGGCGAAAGCCUGACGGAGCAACGCCGCGUGAGUGAUGAAGGUCUUCGGAUCGUAAAACUCUGUUAUUAGGGAAGAACAAAUGUGUAAGUAACUAUGCACGUCUUGACGGUACCUAAUCAGAAAGCCACGGCUAACUACGUG